rnacentral:rRNA from 1 species
GACGUAGGGCGCGAGCGUUGUCCGGAUUUAUUGGGCGUAAAGAGCUCGUAGGCGGCUUGUCGCGUCGUCCGUGAAAACCUGCGGCUCAACUGCAGGCUGGCGGUCGAUACGGGCAGGCUGGAGUUCGGUAGGGGAGACUGGAAUUCCUGGUGUAGCGGUGAAAUGCGCAGAUAUCAGGAGGAACACCGGUGGCGAAGGCGGGAUCUCUGGGC